GAUAGAAUGUGUCGUGGAAACCGUCGCCUGGGCCUAAUGGAGUGACUACAAGCGCGCCUGGCCUGAGAGCUUGAUGGCAGGCAAAGUCAGCUGCUGAACGGGAAGGAUGGAGUGUUGGCAACUGGUUUGGUUGCCUGGAAAGCUAACCGAUAUAAAGGACUGUAUGGGUGACCUUAUAGAGAUUUAUAAAAUAAUGAGGGCUAUAGAAAAGCCAAUCCAAGUUACAGUGGGAAGAGAAAACAGAGUGGCUGCUGAUAGCAAAAGACCAGAUGACACUUUAGCAACUUAGCAAUUUUUGGUUGCUGUCUGACAGAGUUCAGAGCAAGAGAACUUCUUCACCUGUUUCACCUGUCAUGCUGGGAUGUUUAAUGACUGUCCAAAUAAGCAAACUUUUCUCAUUGUUUAAAUGCCCACCUGCCUGGUUUCUGACAGCAGGAAGAAUUCUAAACAACUUCUUGGACAACGUUCUUCUGACUAACCUAUCAGUUUUAACAAUCGUUCACUUGAUUCUCACCCCUAAUUAUCCUUUGAACUUCGUCCUUUGCAGGCAGCCUCACUAUAGUAGGUGAGCAGCAAUAUCAUCAGUACAAACCUCAAGAUUAAAGCAUGCAACAAGAAAAAUGCAUCAAACUGGUAAAGGAAAAUUAAGGUUGGACAAUAAUAGCCUUGCCAGUGAUGCCCGUUCCCAAUAACUAACAUAGACACACACACACACACACAAGAAAGAAGAAAGUGUGUUUUGUUGUCAGAAGAAAAAUACUAUCAGCCAUACCUUGCAUUGUGCAUUAUUUAUUUAGACUCCUGAAGGCCUGAAGGGGAAUUCUGUAGAAAUAUUUCCUGAAUCCCAGAGAGCCAAGCGAAGUUCUACAAUAUUCAUUCAAUUCCUCUCCCACAGCUCCACGACGAACAGCAGGCUAUUCAUCCUCAACAGGGCAACACUGUGCCCCAUGUUGAGUUAUCUCAGCAUCUCACCUAUACCAAUUUGGGAAAAAAAUGAGUGUAACAUGUUGCCAAUCAAAAGCAAGUUUAACAGAUCAGCUACUCUUUUCCUACCUAUCAAUUUCAUAUACUUGUAAGAUUCUGGAAAACUCAAUCGAUAAACCAUCAUACUUUAUUGAGGGUUUAUCCUGCAUUUUAUCACAUACUUUAUUUCUUCUGUUCUCUCAUGCCAAGAUUUGUAAUUUAAAUGUGUAGUUUUCAUUUCUGUUCCUAACACAAUAAUUGCUUUUUGUUUAGUUAUUCACUAUUGCUAAAUAGUUAUCCACGAUCCAAGCAGAGAAGUUCAAAUCCCACAGUCCAAGCAGGUUGAAGGUGAACAGACAAAGGAGCAAAUAGGUCAACUAAGAUUGGAUGAGUAGCUGAAAUAAACUUAAAAUAUAAUAACGUUAAACUGAAAUAAAAAUCACCUGCUAUAGUCAUUUAUCCCAAAAAAUAAAUGUACCUGAAGAUUAAAUAAAUCAGUCACCAUAUCUAGAGAAAUUGGGGAAUACAUUUAUUCUGGGAGAUUGUGCAAACAGGAAAUGUAAAAAUGUUGCACAAGAAUAUAAGAAAAAGGACCAAGAUUAGGCUAUUAAGCCCUUUGAGUCAGCUCUGCCAUUCAAUGAGAUCAGGCUAAUCAAAACCAUUUUCCUGCACUACCCUAGUAUCCCUUAAUGUUUUUAAUAUGUAGAAAUCUAUUAAUCUCAGUCUUGAAUAUACUGAACAACUGAGCCUAUACAGACCUCCUGCACUGUCUUCUGAGUGAAGAAAUUAGUCAUCUGAGCCUGCCUCUUAUUUUGAGUCUGUGUCUCCUGGCUCUACACACAAACCACCAACCCUGCCUCCCACCUCCACCCAGGGAAAUGUACUUCUUGCAGCCAUUUCUGAACAUGCUUUUCUUUUCCAGUCAUGUCAACAGAGAAGAAGUUUUGUUGAAAUUCAUACAUUUCACACAACCACUGUAGACAAACAUGUACCCCACAGGCUUAGGCUCCCACCCUAGCUACACAGCAAACCAGAUACAUACACUUACAUUAUUUAUGCUUCUCAGCAUUUUACAGACUAUUCAUGUACUCAUGUACUCUCUAAGCUAUUUCUGCAGUUGGGAAAAAACAUCUGUCUUUUUCUUCAACUUGUGAGUGUCAAGCAAUUAAUCGUCUUUGGCCCUGUCCUGUCAGACUUUCCCUAGCUUCAGCUUGGACACAUAUCUAAUACAGUUAGCUAGUUUUAGCAUGCAACCACAACAAAAUCAUAUUGAAGCUAAAUAUUCCAAGCUAAAAGCUCAGUUUAACAGUUUUUUUUCAUGAAUGAGUCCCAUUGUUUUAACAUCUGAUAAUCACAGAACUCUGUACUUACAUUUUCACUUAAACCUAACCAUUUAACCUACAGGAACAAAGACAUCCAACCCGUUUGAGAUAAAAGAAAGAACCCAAGCACCAUUUUAACUUGUUUUUUUAAAGGAUCAUUGUUUUAUAAGGAAUGAUUAUAAACUUUACUGAUAAACUUUACUGAUACUUUGGCUAUCUUGGUCCCAGCCUCAGCUUGACUGCUGCUGAAACCCUUCAUAUUUUUUACUUCCAUACUUAAAAGCAGUGUACAAAUUGAAACAGAAAUAGGCAAUUCAUCCUUCAAGCCUACUCCACCAUUUAAUAAAAUCAUGGCUGAUCUAUUUGUGUUCCCAAUUUCGUAUUCCCAUCUAUCCCCAAUAACCUUUGAUUCUCUUGCGCAACAAAAGUGGAAUCUUACAAGGGUCUGUUUGAGGUGGGCUAUCAUAGGCAUUGUGGAAGAAUCAUGUGAGAAGUCUGCCAAGCCCCACCUCAACAUCAGGAACAAUUCGCUCAAAUCUUCCGUGCAUCUGCUGGGCAACAAAGUGAGUUUCUCACUUGACAGUGACAAGUUGCCAAUUAAAGGGGUUAUAGAUUGUUAAAAGCCUUGUUAACUUCCUAUCUUACUGAACAUGCCAACAAAGUUAGAAAUCGAGAAUUCUAAACAUGGAAACAGAGCAGAUACCUGGCAAGUUUAGCUCGCCAGUGGCAGUGAAUAGCCUUCAUGUUGGUCACUAUGCAACAGCAUCUGAUGGCAUGAUCCAGAGCAACCAGUCACAUGCACCACUUGUCAUGACACUGGCAUCCAACAUUUGCCAAUCCCUCAUGAUCCUCAUGACACCCUUCAGAUCCACUUGCAGGAUACUUAAGAGGGACAGAUCUGGCUUGGUGAGCGCACUGGUAGCUAGUAUUGAAAGGCUGCUGCAAAGACACUUUCCAUGCAGGGACAGGACCCAGCCUGGUUGGGCCAGGCUGCAUCUCAGGGUUGCUUGUUAGCUGUCUUAGCACCCAGUCACUUGAUGCCUAACUGCAUGUUUACAGCAUAAAUGCCAUGCCCUGCCUAGUGGUGCUUUGGUGCUUUAGUUAGAGCCAACAGCCAAAAUCGAGGUCUUCUUUUGUGCAAACACAGACAGGCUACUUGUGAUGCUUAUAAGUCGGGAUGUGUCUGGGAAUGGGCAUAGUGGAAAGUCUUGUUGCACAGCACACCGAGAUGACAAUGUAACACCUACAGCAUGUGCCAGCUGCCUGUGAGGUAAACGCACUGCACAUUAUUCAACCAAAGAGCCAUGUCGAAAAGUGGUUGGGGGCGAGUCCUCAGUCUGGUCAAGGAUGGAUGCUAUCUGUCAUGGGGUCCUGGUACUGUCAGUCAAAGACACAAUCCAUACACAAUCCAGUGACUUGGCCACAGUCAGAUUGAAUAUGGUCAGGGGAUUUGCCUGACAACAAUCUCAGGAGUCGGUAGUGGUCUGUCCUGCAUGACCAUCACAAGCCGUCAGGGGAAUCGCAAAUCAUCUUUCAGGGAGCUGCUAGACAGCGGUCAAGGAUCUGGUCGUUCAUGCCUAGAGGGUGCAUGUGAAAGUCAGCCAGAUAUCUGGAGUGAAUACAUUGAUUGUUGAGGAUGGUGCAAGGGGCCCUGAAAGGGCAGAGGGCUCUCUACUGAAAGGGCAGUGAGACUCAAGAUAGGUAUGUUUGGGGGUAGUGGGAGGCAGAAGCAUGAGUAGCCAUGGGGACAAGGAUGGUAUGGGGUAGACAAAACAGCAUUGGAGGGCAUAGCUGAGAUUGCAUGUUAUUGGCUGUGGCCAUCACCCAGGACUUCAUCAGGGGGCUUAGCAGACCAAAGCUGCAAUGUCAGGGUUUCAGGCAGGGAGGACAGUUGGAGGAAAAUUCAAUGUGGUGGGUUGCCACCUGGGCACUGGGUUGAAAUGGGUUGUUGGGCUAGUGCAGCAGCCUUUUAUAGAUGGCUCAGCACAAGAAAUGUCAAUCUUUUGGCGAAUAUCCAUUGAUUGGUGACUUGUUCCGGGAACAAUGCAUGGUAAGAUGGGGAUAGAAUUGAAUGAGAUGGAUGCCGCAGGGCAGUCUAGAUAGUUAAUGAGGCGGGUGUGGAAAGAUAUGGCAAGAAAUCUCAUUAUGCUUCACAGCAAAAGAACAGCCCAAAAAAAUCAACUGUCACUAGCCAACAAGCACGAGAUUUAGACCAAUCUCGCAAUUCUAGAAAAUAUUUUUUGAACUUUAUUCAAUGUCUGUAUACACGGUUUUUGGAAUUUGGAUACCAGAAUUAGUCAUGGUACUGGAAGUAAGAUUCCUUAUUUUUAAACAGGAUCUAUGUAACUUUAACUUAUGCUUGUUGCUUUUGAAUUAUUUCUUUCAGAAAUGAAUCAAUACUUCGUUUUCAUUUUUGAUGGCUUUCUAACCUAGUAUGAACAAGUUAGGAUGCUUAAUUAUGCUAAAGAUUCUACAAGCAUGGUUUAUUCUUUGUUGUGAUUAUUUCAAGCAUCUGACAAAAAUAUUUGCUCAACAUUUUCAUGUUACGAUAGUGCCAUUUUAAGAUAAAAUUUAAAAAAUCUCCAAACAUAUUUCCCUUAUCUCUGAAGGUGUGUGUUCACAAUUCUUCCUCGCCUCCUCCCCCAACUGCCUUCAGAUAAUUGGCCCAAAUCAGAAUUGAGACAAAAUGGUAGGAAUCUAUUUUGUCUUUAGGACACAGUGGAGGGAACUGAGGGAUCUUAAUCAUUUAUUUCUACGUAUAGAGACGAAAGAAAGUGACAUCAUUUACAGGAAAUAAUGAAGAAAAUAUCAUUUGCAUUCUGAAAUAUAGAAAAAUGCUGAUAUCGGAACUUCUUUUACCAGGAAUAUGGAUACACUGUGUAAUACAAUUAGUCAUCCUGCUACUGCUUUUCUGGGAUCCUGAAGAUUUUUUUGCUAUUCAUAGCUGUUAAAGUGCCAGUGUUGUCAAAAUGCAAAUUGAUCACAAUCUUAAGUCACAACAACAACUUGCAUUAAUGUAGCAACGUGAGCAUAAUAAAAUGUCCCAAGGUGCUUCACAGAAGUAUUAUCAAAAAAAGGCAUAUAAAAAAAGUAAAGUCGCCAUAGUACUAGCACACCGUAGGGUUGCUCUCUCAUUACAGAGAGAUGACAGGUGAUAGUUUAACCUGAGGCUCACCACGCCUCAGGCAAGGGGAAAGUUUGAGAAGGAGAGUCCUUCAUGAUAACCUUAGCUGGUGCAGGAAUUGAAUUACGCUGUUGGCAUUAUUCUGCAUUGCAAACAAACCAUCCAGCCAACAGAGUUAGAGUAAUGCACACUUGUUUGCCCACAAUUGGGGAAGUUUCACUGUUGGUUUUACUAUUUUGAUUUUACUGAAAAUGAAAAUUGCUCAGAAUCGUGAAGCAUGUGAUUUUCUAAAUGGAAGCUGAAGUGAUGUAGAGUAGGUAAGAUUGUAAACAUGCAAACUCUGCACCCAUGCAAAUAAUAAAUGCAUAUGUGAAAAGGUCA